UACGGGGGGUGCGAGCGUUGUCCGGAAUCACUGGGCGUAAAGGGCGCGUAGGUGGCUUGGUAAGCGCGUGGUGAAAGCUCGGGGCUCAACCCCGAGUCGGCCGUGCGAACUGCCGGGCUCGAGCACUGUAGAGGCAGGCGGAAUUCCGGGUGUAGCGGUGGAAUGCGUAGAGAUCCGGAAGAACACCGGUGGCGAAGGCGGCCUGCUGGGCAGUGGCUGACACUGAGGCGCGACAGCGUGGGGAGCAAACAGG
rnacentral:rRNA from 1 species